GCACUCUUCUCUAACUGUUCACUCUGGUCUCCAGCUGUUGUGUCCUCCUUAGUACUUGACAUGAUGCCUGGCUUCUUAAGAACUUUGGAGCAGUUCUCACAGUAACUUUUGCUGAGGAAGCGGUCAUCUUGGCUUCUGUACUAACCUCUGGUUGAACAGCACUGUCAUUUUUCUCUUCGCUUAGUGGAGAAACAAAUGAUGGUGAAGCAGGAUCUUCUGGAAUGCGGGGAAGGACAUCAACAACCUUUCCUUGGACCUUAUCCUUUCUAGUCUGCAAAGGACCACCUGCAUCCAUGCUAUGAGAUAUCUGUUCCACUUUGGUAGAAUCUGCAGAAUCAAGCAUAUAAGUUUUUAGUUUUGUCCUCAACAGCUACUUCCUGAAACCAGCAAUCUUCAUUCUCUACAUGGUUUGAGAACCUUUAUCCUCUACAUUUGAUUAUUUGAAGCUUCUUUUCUUCAAAGAUCUCCACAUGUACUUAAGUUAACCAACAAUUUGGAGAAAAAAAAUUAUUAUACGAAAACAAGGACUCAAAACCCCGAGCUAUCUCCCCUUGGUGAUAAUUAUUGCCACACUUGUAACAAAAAUCUAUGCCAUGUUAAAACUGCCGAAACAUCCUGCUAAUGUAAACAUCCUGUUGUGCAGUCCAUGUAUGAAUCAAGUCUUUAAA